CACAAAUACACAUGAAUGUGAAUUUUAAGCAUGAAGUUAAUUCAGGAGAUGAAGCGAGGACGCACAGAUAAGAGUUGAGCAGCAGGAAAUUCACCAAUGCUCAAAAGUACAGGACAGGACAACUGAGGAGGAGGUGCUGGUGUCAGCUUUACUGCAUUCUGGAGUUUCCACUGGAGGAAGUAGUCAUAUAAUCAGUGUUAAUGCAGACCAUAAUCCUCUUUUAAUCAGAAUCUGAUGAUGAUGAAGAACAGACCUUGAAGAUCCAGUAAAGGUUUUGAACAUGACGCAGCUUUCGAGAGAUUAUUGUGCUCCAGAGUAAACAAAUACAAAUAAGUGCAAGAGUUUUCAGAUCUGUUGUUCAACUCAACAGUUUAGCGGAGGAACAGAAAAAUCUGCAGGCAUUAUUUGAGUGUGAGAUCAGGAUCAUGUGUGUCCAGCUUUGUGUCUCUGAAGAGUGACGUGUCAGUAGGUCCUCCACCAGACCUCAGAGAGAAAACAUCAUCUGC